UAAAAACCCCGACUUCGGAAGGGGUGUAUUUAUUAGAUACAAAACCAAUGCCCUUCGGGGCUCUUUGGUGAUUCAUGAUAACUAUACGAAUCGCACGGCCUUGCGCCGGCGAUGGUUCAUUCAAAUUUCUUCCCUAUCAACUUUCGAUGUUUGGGUAUUGGCCAAACAUGGUUGCAACGGGUAACGGAGGGUUAGGGCUCGACCCCGGAGAAGGAGCCUGAGAAACGGCUACUACAUCCAAGGAAGGCAGCAGGCGCGCAAAUUACCCAAUCCCGACUCGGGGAGGUAGUGACAAUAAAUACUGAUACAGGGCCCUCUCGGGCCUUGUAAUUGGAAUGAGUACAAUUUAAAUCCCUUAACGAGGAACAAUUGGAGGGCAAGUCUGGUGCCAGCAGCCGCGGUAAUUCCAGCUCCAAUAGCGUAUAUUAAAGUUGUUGUGGUUAAAAAGCUCGUAGUUGAACCUUGGGCCUGGCUGGCCGGUCCGCCUCACCGCGUGCACUGGUCCGGCCGGGCCUUUCCCUCUGUGGAACCCCAUACCCUUCACUGGGCGUGGCGGGGAAACAGGACAUUUACUUU
rnacentral:rRNA from 1 species